CCUACGGGGAGCAGCAGUCGAGAAUCAUUCACAAUGGGGGAAACCCUGAUGGUGCGACGCCGCGUGGGGGAAUGAAGGUCUUCGGAUUGUAAACCCCUGUUAUGUGGGAGCAAAUUAAAAAGCUAGUACCACACGAGGAAGAGACGGCUAACUCUGUGCCAGCAGCCGCGGUAAUACAGAGGUCUCAAGCGUUGUUCGGAAUCACUGGGCGUAAAGCGUGCGUAGGCUGUUUCGUAAGUCGUGUGUGAAAGGCGCGGGCUCAACCCGCGGACGGCACAUGAUACUGCGAGACUAGAGUAAUGGAGGGGGAACCGGAAUGCUCGGUGUAGCAGUGAAAUGCGUAGAUAUCGAGAGGAACACUCGUGGCGAAGGCGGGUUCCUGGACAUUAACUGACGCUGAGGCACGAAGGCCAGGGGAGCGAAAGGGAUUAGAUACCCGGGUAGUC
rnacentral:rRNA from 1 species